rnacentral:lncRNA from 1 species
AACCAUACAAAAUGGUAGCCCAAAAUGCAAAACUUUCGCCGGAAAAAAAAAAAAAAAAAAAACUUUAGCCACUAGGCAAAACAGAGCACUUCAUCCAGAAAAAGACAAAACGACUGGUUGGAAGCAAACUUGAAAAAGAUCUGAGCCAUGAAAGAAAACCAAGUUUGGCCAUAGAAUAUAUAGUAUACUUGGAUUGGAUGGCAGUCAUUGCCAGUUUUCGGAACGAUGGUGAAAACUGUUUCAUUUAAGAUAACAAAGGUAAUUUUCUUACAAUUCAGCUAGAAUUUCCUAAUUACCAGAGAUAUCUUCUAUUUCAGAUUGUUGGGAUGCGGUCAUAGAGCCUUGCGCUGCAGGAAUUGUAGGAGAAAACAAG